CGGAGCUAACGCGUUAAGUCGACCGCCUGGGGAGUACGGCCGCAAGGUUAAAACUCAAAUGAAUUGACGGGGGCCCGCACAAGCGGUGGAGCAUGUGGUUUAAUUCGAUGCAACGCGAAGAACCUUACCUACUCUUGACAUCCAGAGAACUUACCAGAGAUGGAUUGGUGCCUUCGGGAACUCUGAGACAGGUGCUGCAUGGCUGUCGUCAGCUCGUGUUGUGAAAUGUUGGGUUAAGUCCCGCAACGAGCGCAACCCUUAUCCUUUGUUGCCAGCGGUUCGGCCGGGAACUCAAAGGAGACUGCCAGUGAUAAACUGGAGGAAGGUGGGGAUGACGUCAAGUCAUCAUGGCCCUUACGAGUAGGGCUACACACGUGCUACAAUGGCGCAUACAAAGAGAAGCGACCUCGCGAGAGCAAGCGGACCUCAUAAAGUGCGUCGUAGUCCGGAUUGGAGUCUGCAACUCGACUCCAUGAAGUCGGAAUCGCUAGUAAUCGUAGAUCAGAAUG
rnacentral:rRNA from 1 species